UCUCGAUCUGCCUUCAUUGCUC
rnacentral:siRNA from 1 species